AGGUAUACAAUGCAGCACAUGCAUAUACAGCUAAGCUCGGUGGAUCUUUUAGUGGAGAUCUUAUACCAAUGGAUAUGAUAUCGACUGGACGAUAUAUGUUUGUUACAUUCACCACUGACAGUUCUGUGGUAAAAACUGGAUUUAGUGCAAACGUUUACAAAAUAACAUCUUUAUAGCAAGUUAUGAAUGUCAGAGGCCUACAGGGAUUACCCCAGUUGAUCCAUAUGAUGUAUCUUUUUCCAAACUAACUACGAACAUUGUUACCACGUUUUAUAUUGUGGUUUGUCAUUACGUCGUCUCAUUUUAUUACAGAACGUGACUUAUUCCCAAUUGUGACUGUUAUGCUGAGUGUGAAUUCGCAUUGCUAUUAGACGUGGCAUUUUCUAUAUUUGAAAAUGCCUGUACCAAGUUUAGUUUUGAUGUUAUAUUUGUUAUUGUCAUCGGAUUUUGUCAAAUGUCUUAACGUUUGGUGUUGUACACCUUACUUUUUUUGUGUUAUAUUCGUGUGUUAUGGUAAAGAUAAUUGAUCAUCCAUUUCAUUUAUUAGAUUUUAGUUUGGAUCAACGAAAUUUACACUAUAUAUUUGGUUUACAGUUUGAUUCAGAGGAACACCGACAUAACUAAAUAAUACAAUUAGUUAUCUAAUUACCACUACAAUCUGAUAUUAAUUAGUAUUGUAAUUUUGACUAUUAAUAAUAAACGUUAGAUAAGUCAUACAAAUAUAAUCUUGAACUUCAUCUAAAUUAUUUCUUUAUUUUGGGAACUUGUUUUUUAAUUCAAAUAUAACGUCACUUUGCGCGUAACACUGGUUAUGGCUAACAAGACAGGGAUUUUUUGUAAUUCAUCCGUUUUUAUUCUGAAGCUAGUUACCUCUUCAGUUUAAUCAUGUAUAUCUGUUAUAUACAUGUAGUCAUUUUCCAAAAUUUACUGUUUGCAAAAGUAUGUAUUAUUCUGAUUUCUAAAUAAAAUAAAAGGAUGUUCUUGUCCCAGGUGGAUAACCCUGGUCGUAUUAGUCACGACUUUUUGAAACCUUUGGUCCUUAGUGCUUUUCAGCUUUGUACUUGUUUUGGCUUUUAAACUUUUUUCAUCUGGGCGUCGCUGGUUAGUCUUGAGUAGACGUGGCGCACGUCUGGCGUAUUAAAUAUUUAACAAAGUAAAUUUUGUUGGCUAUUAAUCGUUUGUUUCUCUGUCCUAUAUUUUCUCCCAUUUAUUUUUAUUGUAGUCCUGUCAUGUAAUGUUGUCAUUUUUAAGUUAUAAUUACCAUUGCCAUUUAAGCGGGAGGUUUGGUAUGCCACUAAACCAGGUUCAUCUCACCACUUUUAAUCUUAAAAUGUCCUAUACCAAG
rnacentral:lncRNA from 1 species